ensembl:lncRNA
CUGAGACAAGUGACAUUUUGUAUAUUAAACUUUCAGGGACUGUGCUGAGAAAUACAUGAGCAUGACUCCAGUACCAGUAUGAAUGCUAAUUAUGUUCAAAAAAUAAUUAGUUACUUGGUGAUAGACGUGGCAGAUUUAUUUAAAUUCCUGCCAGUCGAACACAAGUGCAGAGAUUGUAUUUGCCUGGGGUGGCUGCUCCUCUACACACGCUGGGACAAUACAGCUCACCCAUAUGGAGGUGAGCUCUCCCAUUAAUACCCUAUUAUGGCUUUGUACUAUGGGUUACAUUAAUGUCCUUACUUAACAUUUCAGAAGCAUCAGUGAUAUUAAUAAACAUUAAGGACUAGCUCAGGAAUAAUUUACACAAAGUGCAGCGAAGUUCUGCUCUGGCAGCGCUUGUUGUUUUAAGACAUUUGUAAUGGGGUGACACUCUCCUCGUAAAACACCCGGACAAGAACAGGUCAUUUGUUUUGUGUCACUUUAGGCUCUGAAGCAAAAAAAUCUGCAUUAACUUCUGGCAGUGAGUCACACUGGGAGGCUGGCCAUGACCUCGUGUCCACAGGGCUCAGGAGAGAGGUUUGCCUUCCUUUGUGUUCCUUGGGACAAGGCCAUGGAGGGGAGGAUGCUCUGCUAGGAAAGAUGAGGCCUUUGAGGGGAACCUUGCAAACUGAGAAAGUUUAGGAAGGAUGUCUAGGCUGAAAUUUAUAUUCUUGAAGUUAUUUUUAAUCACGUAGGAAAACAAGUCCCAUCAUGCAGGGGUAAGUUUGGGUGAAUAGUUUUUAGACUGAAGGUUAUUCACAGCUGAGUGGUUUGAUUCUCCAGUGCUAAUUAUGUCUGCCUUCAGUUGGAUCAUGAGAGUAAAAAGCUUUUUUUUUUUUUCUUUCCAAAAUGGAUAAACAAUAUUGAAAAUCAGAGAACAACUUGUUGGUAGUAAAUGAUGAAGAAAGUUAAAUGCAUUAGAUCUGUAGAUGUUUUCUGUGAAUUUCCUCAAAUACAUUCCCCUUUUUCCAAAUGACACACAACACAAUCUGUGCAUGCACGACAAACCAAAGUCAACAUUUAUCUGUAGGAAAACACCUGCAAAUCAGGAUCAUCAGUUUGUUCAGCAUGAAAAGUACCUUAGCCCUUAUCCUACAAAUAAUAAAAUCAAAUCAUUUACUCCCGCAGCUGAUCAUUCAGACACCUUAUGAAGUAAAACCACUCUGAGUUAGGAAAGCAUUGCAGAGUGCACAUAAAUGCAAGGGCCUCGGUCUUGUCACAGCAAAGUCAAUGGCAAAGUGCCCAUUGAGUUAAAACCCGAAGAAAACAGCCACCGGAGCAACGAGCUGUAAUCUGCCUUAAUCCAUAGUAUCAGCUGUUGACAGAUACAUACAGAGUGCUAAAAAAUGUUAGCAAAGCAGUAGGGACUGAGAGACAGCUCUGAAACUUUCCUUAUCACGUUUCUAAAUUCACCAGAGGUACCAUCCUUACGACGUAUGACAAAACAUAUGUUUUCUCUCCAAACUCGCUGGCAGAUCUAACCAAAAGUGUCAUCAGACUAUCGGAAACUGACUAGUGGAGAUGAAGCUCCUGUUCUGCUCUUCCUUGUUCCUUCUCAGAGAUGAAAAGAAAAGCCCCGCUGGGAUCUGCCCACCUCAUAUGUUCUGCAGACCCAAGAAAUUAAAGGAGAAUUGGGGGCUGAACAACACAUUUCCUGCAUUUUGGGACAGCUGUUCUUUUCGCUAAAACCAGCAGCCUCAGAUAAUGCUGU